rnacentral:lncRNA from 1 species
GUAGUUUCACAGCACGGACAGGCCUUGAGAGCACUGUUUCCAGAAUCCCGUUUUCUUGGGCACCUGGAUUCCAGAGGGAUAAGCUGGCCUCUGCCUAUGGCUCGGCUCCUAAAUGGGUUAUAACGGGGCUCCGGAGGGGAGGGGCCGGGAGUCUGGGUCUGAGCUGCCUCGCUCUGGUCCCGUUUCCCAGCCACAAACUGCACCCUGGCCCGGGCCCUACAUGCUGGGAGACUGCGAGACAGCAGCUCCUGGGGAUGGAUGCCAACAUCACCCCCAUUUGACAGAUGAGGAGGCCGAAGUUCCUGGAACCCCUCCCCAGCAGCCCCCAGCACCAGCUGUGAAGGCAGCGGCCGGGGUCUGGCCAGGCGGGUGUGUUCCGACAGACAGGGCCGCCCAGGACUGGGGCUCCCACUCCAGCAGUGGGAGAAAAGCCGUGGGAGAAGAGGAAGAGAGCCUGCGUGAACAGGGGCCUCCUACCAGCUGGGCCCCCACACCUGCUGGCCUCCUGGUACCUCCAGGGAGGUCCAUAGAACCUUCCAGAAUGACCCACAAAAGGACUCUGAAGAGUAUUUCACUCAUCCUUCAUGCCCUGCAUACCUGGCUGGAAAGCCCCCUCCGGACUCCCAGUCGAGUGCUCGCCCAGAACAGAAUUUUUGUUUCAUUCGGGGGGAGAAUUUUUCUAGGGGCCAGAGCUUGUCUUUUUCCUUCCACUCCCUUCUCUUUCCUCUUUUCAGUCUAGGUUUCUCACUGCUCCGGUAUGUCUCUCUCUCCAGCUGUCUCUCUGUCUCUGUCUCUGUCUCCCACCCUCCAGCCGCUGCGAUGACUCGCUUCCCUCCCCUGCGUGGCCGCAAGGCCAAGCCGAGCUCCCAUCGGGCUCCCUUAGCCUCCAAAGGCGCCUGUGCAGGCAGCACCUGCCUCCUGACCUUCCCACCGCAGCCCGGGGGCUGCACCUGGGGGGCAGCCGGGGCUUUGUUCCCCCCUUUCUGGAAGGACAGGACGCUCCAGCCCCUCCGGCUUCCUGCUCCCGCCUGGCUGGCGGAGUUGAGAGCCGGCUGCAGAGCUGGGAGCCAGGCAGCAGCAUACAGAACAAACAGAAUUUUUUUUUGCAACUAGAGGGGGAAGCACAGAGCUAAAAAUAAAACGAAAAGAUCAGUAUCUGUCAGUCUGACAGCUGAUUGGCUGCUCGGAGAUGCAUAUAAUUACCAGCAACUGGCGCUGGGUAGGCAAAGCCGGGAGAAACUGCUGAGACGAGGUUAGGAUUUAACCUUUAAAUUCUGGAGCCACCGGAAGCCGAGGGGAGGACGACGGGCGUCGGCGCUAAUGAGGCUGGGGGUGGGCGGCGGGGCGGUGGGCCGCCGAGUCGGGGCAGGUCCCGGGGCGCCUCCGGGAGGGCCCUGGGCGCCCUCCGCCCCGGCUGCCUCCCCCAUCAGACUGGGCGUGCGUCUGAUUGGGCGGCCGGAGGUAGUGUCCUUCUCCCCGCCCAGCUGGGGGGCGGUGUCUUCCGGGAAGUCAGGGUCUCACCCCGAGGGAGUGAGGGGGCUGCCUGGGGCCCUGGGGCCCUUCCAGGCCGGCCUCCUGGAGAGGCGCACCCCAACCCCACCCACAUUCCUCCGCCUUUCCCUGCCUGGUGUGGGCUUCCGCCAGCCGUCCCCGCUCCCCUCCUUCCUUCACCCCAAGUCACCCCGCUCCUGGCUGUUUCCUGCCCGGCCUGGGGAGGGCAUCUCGGCGCCUCAGGCUCGUCCCAUCCCCAGAGAUAGACAAGCACCGCAAGACUAGAGGGAUGUUGUGGUCUCCCUCGGCCUCAGUUUCUUCAUCUGUAAAAUGGGGGUGAUGAUAGCAGGCCCGCCUGGGCGCUCAGCAGAUGCCAGGGGUGCCGCAGACCCAGUCUGCUGAUUCUCUCACCUGAGCCAGGAGUCAGAAGAGGCGGGCUCUAGUCCCAGCCAGGAAUUGUCGCUUUCUCUCUUAGAGCUGGUCUCCCCAUCUGUGAACUGGGGCUAAGGACUCCUGCCCUCUGACCUCUGGGGGUGUCGGUGACAGUGCUCGGUGAACUGCACCUGUUGUAGGAGGUCAGAGAGAACGUGCGGCUUCUUGAGCCCACUGCUUUCUCCCCUCCAGGCCUUUGCCUGGUCUGUGGCCUCUGCCUGGAACUCCUUCCCUCCCUCUGAUUCCAGCCCUUCCCUUCAGGGCCUCUUCCUCUGGGAAGCCCUCCCUGACUCCUCUGCAGGCCCUUUCCUGCUGGCCCCGGCUGUCUCACCUCCUACUCAGGCCCCGAUUAUCUGCCUUGCAUGCAGGACUGUGAGCCCUGUGAGGGCAGGGCCCCACGCCUGGCAAGGCCCUGGCCCAGGGCCCCUCGGGAAGGGAGACAGCCCGGUCCCUGAUGCACGGCCUACCCUGUGGCCUGGGGAGCCAGGAGGAUGUGGGAACCACCUUGUGCUUUGCUGCGCAGGCGUGGGGCAAGCGGUGGCCUUGGUUGGUGAGGAGCUGUCUUUCCCCAGUGCAUCAGGGAACACCCGGCCCUGCCCUCUGAGCACUGACAGUCUAAGGUGAUGCCCAGGGGAGGCUGCCCCUGUGUGUGACUCCUAAGGAAGAGGGAGUUUCAGAGUGUGCCUGCCAGCACUGGGCUGGUGGGGUGGUGGGUGGAGCUGCUGUGUUGUACCAGGACCUAGAAAGCCCAGACCGAGGGACCAGAGACCCUGCUGGAGCUCCUCACUGGGGCGAGAUGCAAAGGGCAGUGGAAGGAAAUCACAAGAGUUCCCACUUGGGUGGCCUCGUGGUGAAUGCUUAUCUUGACCACUUAGAGCCCUUACCUCACUGAGUGCCCACAACCACUCGUGACUCCUCGAAGGCGUGCUAUUGUUAUCCAGGUUUUGCAGAUGAGGAAACUGAGGCACAGAGCAGUUAAGCAACAUGGCUGGUGAGGGCAGAGCCUGGCCUGCCCAAUGCCCCAUCCCCCACGGCCAGGCCCAGCAGCCCUGCCUCUCCGAGAGGAUGAAAUGAAGGAGGUGGAGGGAAGACACGCUGAUGCAGAGUCUCGAGAAGGCUUGUGUGUGUGGUGUGCAGAGGGACUCCCCUUUGGGGUGUAUUUGAGAGAUUUCUGGAAGAUUUAAACUGCUUUUCAAGGAUUUGAGGGUGUCACACUGGUGUUUCUUUUGAAUGUGACAUGGUGAUGAGACUGGGCCCGGUUUUAUUCAGGUUACAGUAAUAAUAGCAGCAACAAAAGCAGCUGUCCCUGACCGCAUGCCCGCCCCGAGCUCGGUGCUGGGCUCAGCCUUGACGUGGCUGCACCCUCGGAGCCUCCCCACCAGCCUGGGCUAGAGAUGCUUCUCCUCUCUGUGUUCUUUCUUUCCAGCGGGUCUCAGAAUUGGUUUGUCUCCACAUUUGCUGCCUCCCGUUAGGCAGUGAGGUUGGUGAAGGCUCCACUCUGGUCUCCCCCAGGCAUUGCUGAGUCCUCGGCACCCAGCACCUGCUCCACAGAGAGCACCUGGACAGUAAAGCUUUGCUGGACACAUUUCAGAUGAAGAGACAGAAGGUCAGGGAGGUCGCACAGCUUGCCAGGAGAGAACCCCAGGUUUCUGUGGCUCCAGAGCCCAGAUUCUAGUCACCACCUCUCACAGCUGCUUCAGAGACCCUCUCUGAGACCCCUGAAGAAAGACACAGAGCACGAAUCCCCCCACCCCACCCCCACCCAGGGUUCUCAGGCCUUGUACUAAAACCUGAGAGGCUUCUGAACGGACCCUGCCCUCUCCUCACCUUUUCCUUGCUUCCUGGGAAAUCAGAGGAGAGUUGGCCAGAGUUAGCUCCGUCUUGGGCAGGUCACACUCUCCCGGAGUUGCCCGGUUUUUUCGUGUGAUCUGAUUCAAUUUUCCUUCCUUGUCACAUUGGGUCCCACUCAGAGAAAUCUUUCAAGUGGAUGUGCCUUUACUAUGUGACCAUGACCCAGUUAAUUCAUAUGUGCAGUUGAUCACUGUUGCUUAUCUCUGUGAUAGUGCCCCUCGUUCUGGGGCUUUAAGCAAACGUCCCAGAGAGGCCAAGGGCUAUAAACCCAAGAUCCUAAUGGUUAAGAGCUUGGUUCUGCCACUGAGUGACUUUGGGGACCUCACUUGACCUCUCUGAGCCUUGGCUUCCUCAUCUGUAAAAUGGGCAUGCAUGGGAAGUAUCUAUCUCGAUUCCUGGCUAUAGGUGGGGAGAAGGAAGUCAAGCUUUCUCUUAAAAAAGAAAACAAACCACAUUUUGCACAAAUAAUAUAUGAUUUUUAUCCCUAUACUUUAAGAAAUGUUGGUUUAAAGAAAGCCUGUCUGGACACCAACCAGUACCUGAGCGCCCGCCACAUACCCAGUGUUGCAAUCAGCCCUGGGAAGGAUGGUGAUCCCCCGCUUGUGGGCGUGUCCUGCACGCUAGGCAUGGUGAGAAACUCAGUGAGAAACCAAUGAGCCUGGCUUUGGCCCCGGCCCCCUGUUUUGCUGAUGAACAGAGUGAAGUCCUGCUUCCAGCAGGGGCUCAGCGUGGUGGGGAAGACACCCCAUAGGGACUUUGGGUCCUGCCUGCAGGGUACCCAGUGAGCUCUCAGGGUGCAAAGAUGAACCAGAGGUGGUUCCUGCCCUGGAGGAGGUAUGUCUCCUAGGAGAUGGGGACACAUCCACAGAGCAGAGACAACACGUGGUGUAGUUGAUCCACACCCUAAAGAGUCACUGGAAAGAUCCCCACGGACCUUGACUUACAAAAGUCCCCUCAAGCCAGCCCUGAAGGUCUAGUGGCUAAAGUUUGGCUCUCUCACGCCUGCACCCUGGGUUCAUUUCCGUGGCGUGGAACCACACCACCGUCUGUUAGUUGCCAUGCUGUGGUAGUGGCUCACACAGAGAACUAGAAGGAUUUACAACUACGAUACACAGCCAUACUGGGGGGCUUUGGGGAGAAGAAGAAAAAAAAGAAAAGAGGAAGACAGGAAGAUGGGCAACAGAUGUUAGCACCAGAAGAAUCCUUCCGCGCAUAAAAAAGAUGUCCCCUCCUUGGUGUGUCGACAUCAGAGUUCUAGGCCCUUUACUGUGGCUGAUGGAUGGUGCGUUUUUUAUAUCUCACAGUGGACUCCUCUUGAGCUGUAUUUGAAAUCUAGUUGGCUUGACCUUCAUUGUCCUUGACCUUCACCCGUUCUAGUCCACGGUCGUGGGGCCUCUGGACCAGGGUGUCCAGCUCCUGCUACUCAGACACAUGAGACUCAUUUUUAAGAAGCGACUGUGCUUCUCCUCCCCAAUCCUGUCCCCAAAGGUGACUUCUAGUCCCGGAUGGGAGGACACUUUCCAGUGGUCAUGAGCUCUGGGGUCCUCCCCACCAACGAGAUGUCUCCAGAUGGACGAAGCGUGUCCAGGAGUGAAGUUGGAAGUUGGUUGUGAGCCCCCGGCAUCCAUCAGCCUUCCGAGGCCUGGCCUUGAGCCUCUGCACGCUCCUGACCAAAAGCUCCACGGCCUCAAACCUCCUGUGGGUGUGGGGUGGAGGGGGGAGUGGUGGAGAUGGGAGGGGUGGAGGGGAGGGUCUGGCUAGAAGGAGCAAGAGAAGCCGCACCCCAGCCCCACGUGUGCACUCGGACGUGCCUGAAGUCGAAGGAAGGUGCAGAGCGGAGUGGAGGCCGCAGGGAGAGGUCCACGCCCCGUCUCAGUGCAGGUUCCUACAAGAAAUUCAAGCAUGGCUGUGGUUGGUUUCCACUCGGCUUCGCUGAAAACCUGCAAACAAGAGCCCACACGUCGUCCUCAAGGUCAGCUUUCGUGGAGAAGGUGGUACAAGGAGCAGCUAGUGAAGACCUGGGCUGUGUGCCCGGCCAGCCACCCCCCCUUUGCCUCCCAGGGCGGUGCAGGCACCAGGCUUUGUGGGGGUGGGGAAGUACUUACUUCAUUUUAAAGAAAGUAUAAGAAGCAGUUGCCGCCACUGAAAAAUAAUGGAGACAAAUGCCCUCCCUUCAGGAACUCCCAUUUCUAAGCUAAUUCCUCUCUACGUUCCCACCAGAAAAGCCCCUCCUGCUGUUACUUGCCCCAAGGCCCAUGUUUGGCCAACAAACAAACUGUGUGUGUGAAGUAAUGUAAGCUUUCUCAUUUGGGGUUAGUCAAGGACAACGAUGAUGCUUGCUCAGCUGCCAUCAGCCCCAGAGAUUCUGAACGGGCACAGUGGGUGGAGAUAAUCCCAGUUAGAGCGAAGAAGCCUGAUGUCGCAGGUAGCCCGUGGUGGCCUGGCCAGCAGUAAAGCUCCAGGACACAGCUCGAUGCAGCUUGGAGGUCAUGCUGCCACUCAGAUGAGAAGCUCCGGAUCACAGGGAGCUUCUCCCACCUGAAGGCAAAGGCCCCCAGCCCUGGCUGGCUGCUCAAUCAAGCCUAGAGUUUCAGAGAGGAUGCCAGCUCUCUUCAGGCUGGGCACACCUGCCCCCCACCCCCACCCCAGCACUGCCCCCUGCCCUGCGUGUCCUGGGGACCUGGUCACCUCCAUUCCUUGCCUCCAGGAGCGUGGAGUGAAUAAUGAAGGCCAGACUCAGCGGCUUCUGGAAAGACCACCCUUCCUCCUUCUGGUUCCCUUCAAGGAAGGACCUUCAUGGCCCCCAAGUACCACAAAUCCUAGGCUGAGCCUGGGCACAGAGCGGAUUUCCCUCUCUGGGCACACACCUAUGGGGGGCGGGGGUGGGGAGCAGCAUUCCCCUCCGCUGCAGAAGGAGCUCCAUCUAUGUUGGCAACCCGAUUCGAAUCCCGGUUCCACCACCUUCAAGCUUCGUGGCUGCAGCACCUCUUUCUGAGCCUCAGUUUCCCCAUCUGGAGAGUGGAAUUCAGAGUGGGGGGGGUGGAGCGGGCAGCAUGGUCUGGUUCUGCCGAGGCUCCGGGCCACUUGCCCUUCCUGGUCCCACAGAUGUUCAGCCCAUUCGGGGCAUGCUCGGGUGCCCCCCUCCCGGCCCUGGGCUUUGCCUGAGCUGCAAAGGAUGAUGGGAUGGGAGCCCUCAGAGGUGCCGCCUUGGCCGCAUCUCGCUGGAACCACAGUGGAGCUCCUGGGCCAUGUCUGGAGGGCGGGGUAGGUGAUCCUCGUGGGCUGGAAGCUCCUGUGAGAAUACCCCAUUUACAGGUGAGGGGGCUCGCAGGGGGAGUGGCCGGCCAAGCCCUGCGACAUAGAGAGAUUUUAACCUGGAGAACCACGCCAGUAACACCAAGGGCCCUCCUACACUCUGCUCUGCCCCCAUUUACCUGAGUCCUUACUGCGUGCCAGGCAAUCACUGACCUACUUUAAUCCAACAACAGCCUAAGAGGAGGGUAUAUUGAUCCCCAAUUUUUAGGAAACAGAGAGGUUGAUGCACUUGCUCAAGGUCACACAGUUUGCAAAGAGUGGAACCUGACUUUGAACUCAGGCCACCUGCCUCCAGAGCCUGUGCUCUUGGCCAAUCUCCUCUGCCCCCGGCUUGGGAUCCAAGCUCUGUAGAGAGGGCCGGGGCCACCUGGGGUUAGCCGCUUAAGCCCCAGAGGCCCAGAGUGAGGGAAAAAUCUCCAGCACCCCGCGGGUCCGCGAGGGCUGUGCGGUCAUCACUACCACCGGGUGCAGGGAGCUCAGAGGGGCCAAGCCUCUGACUCUAGGGAGCGCAGCCGGCUCCGCGCCCCCUGGCUCCCUGUCCAGGGGCUCCACAGAGGCCGUGGUCGGAAGGACCCCCAAGCCAGCUGGGUCCCCUGACAGACGGACAGAGGACCUCUCUCCACACGCAGCCUCCCGCCCCGGGGAUGCGGGCAGCGCGGCCUGCCACCUCCUCCGGAGCAGGUUUCCUUUAAGACGGCAGAAGAUUGAUUUCCUGGCAGGCUGCGCGCGAGGAGCGUCCACGCGGUUUGCAUGUCUGCAUUUUUACGGCUCCGUUUAAUAUGUAUGCAAAUACCCGCCGCCGCCGCCGCCGCGCACGCGGCCGUCCCGGCCCGGCGCUGGGAGGCCUGAUAGAUGGGGCGGGACGGAGACAAAUGACGGGCUUUUCUAAUUUCUUUCUCUUUUCCGGAGGCUGGGGAGAGGGGGGCUCAAGACUGGAAACCACAGAGGAGAUUUAAAUAUAUGCAAAAUUGUUGUGGGUUGGGGCGGGGUCUGGAAACCUGAGCCGGGAGGAGAGCAUUCCGUGUUUUCCUCGGUGGCAGUCGCGCAGGAGGUGGCCCAGCCCCCUGAGACCCCUGUCACCUCCGGCGGAGGGAGCGGCUUUGCUCCGGAGAAGCCGACUGCUUCCUCGGGAAGCGCAGCCUCAGCGCAGAAAGAAGGAAAAUGCGGGUUCUUUUCGGCCCCAUCCGCCAGGAGGCCGCUGCGUGUGUCCAUCGCACCCCCACUUAUUUCGUUGGGCUUCCAGAGCUUAUAACUUUAUAGGUGUGAUGUCACUUAACUCUCACGGUUGCCCUAGGAGGUACAUCACACCCAUUGUACAGAUAGGGAAACUGAGGCUCGCAAGAGUAAGGUCCUUGGGGAGAGUUGCAGAGGGAGGUGGGGGGAUGCACUCCCAGAACCGCAGCCCUCAGCCAUCUCCAGCUCUGUGGGGUGUGCUCCCAGCUAUGGGGGGUGGGGCGGGCGCGGAAUGUGCCCAGACUAACCCCCAACACACAACCCAUGCUCCCCCAUCCCACCUGCCCCACCUGCCCCCACCUGCCUGACUCAGACUGAGCCUGCAUCACAUAAGCCCGCAUCAGAUGGGGCCUGAGACUGAGCCCCAAAUUUUCAAAAUAUUAUUUAGGCCUAAAAUUUGAGGUGUAGUUUUAAUGGAAUCUUUCCUAAUUUCUGAGGAUUUCAGGUGACGGACGGGGUAGCUGGGGGCAGCCUGGAGAGUCCUGUGAGGACGGAAACGUUUCACAGAGGGGGCGCCAGCCUAGAGAGGGGGCUUCUGGAGCAGACAGCUCAGGCCCUCUGGGGACCCGAGUCCACGUUUGUGUGGAGUGUAUGUGUCAGUGUGUGUGUGAGGCUGGGAUUGUGUGUCCGUGCACACACGUGUGUGUCAGUGAGCGUGUGCAUCGAGGUGGCAGCAGCUGAGACCGCCAUACUGGCAGCUGGCAUGCGAAUUUCCCUGCGGGCUCCCAUCCCCGUGGGGUUUGGGCCUCCUGUCUCCCCCACCCCCACCCGAACCUGCUCCCCUCUCCAGGGAAGCCUGUGCUGCUUCAGCUGCAGAACGGGGGUAGGACGGGGGCUGGGGACUUGAGAAGACUGAGGCACCCCUAAAGGUCUGCAGCCAUGAGGAGGACUUGGUUAUGGGGGAUGGGGUGUAGCCUGUUGCCUGAGAACUCUGGGCAGGAAACGAGGGGCGCGCAGCUCCCCCAGGAAGCUCUCCCUGUGUGUACAUGUGUGUGCAUGUGUGCAUGAGUGUGGCGAUCCAGACUAGCAUAUGUCCAUUCAUAAAAUGCUCCUCCUCCCCACCCUCUCCCUCCCCCACCCCCACCCCUUCUCUCUCCCACCUCCACCCUCACCCCUCCUGCCUCUCCCACCCCUACCCUUCUUCCCAUCUCUCAGGUUCACCCCGCCCUGGAGUGCCAUGAGCCAUCUCUCCUGGAGUCUCCCCCCUCCCUGCCCUCCUCCCCCCUUCCCUGCCCCUUCCCCCGACUCCCCACCUCUCCCCUCCCACAUAGGUGUUUGUUUGUUUCCUUCUGUCCACUGUCGUCUCCCCCACAGGAAUGUGAGCCCCAUGAGAACCUUGAAAUGGGGUGCUCAGCACCCCUCUGAUGUCUGGGAGCAUCUCGGGACCCCUCCCCUGCCCAGGCCGAGCUCCUUCUCCAGGCUCAGGUCUUCUCUGGUGGGGCUCCUGCACCCCGGUGUCCAUGGAGCCCACCCAGACAGGGACCCAAGUCCCAUGCCCUCCCUCGCCUCGCCUACGUCUUGGGACAGUCCCCCUUCUUCAGGCCUCCUCAGGGUGUCCCCUUCCUGAGCUGGCCUGAGCCACCAUCCCGGCACCCACAGUGCUGAGAGCGAUUGUCACUGGAGCCUAUUGGCGUCAGCACGGCAAGAAAGUCCUUUCCAUGAGAACCGCUGUGAGUGGACAUCAACGCGGCCCCUCUGAACCCCUGCUCCCCUGGGGGCCUCUGAAGCGUCCUGUAAAGCCAGCCCCGCCACCCAGAGGCCCGAGGGUGGUGAGCCCAGGGGAGAGUGGAGCCCUGGGUCUCCCUGGAAGUGAUGACUGUGUAAUUCUUGUUCUCACCUGCCCCUGCUGCAGGAGGGCGGCACUGGGUCUGCGCUGGGCCUCCCGCACCCCGGCCGGCCGCACACACAUUCGCUCUGCAAAUAGCUGUCGAAACAGACAAGUGGCAGGUGGCGGCCUCCACAAAGGCAUGGGCUUUGUGACAUAUCUGGCGGGGACUCCAGUCGGUGGCCCCCUUGGAGUCUGCACCUUCGCUCCCUAGCUGGUUGGGGGCAAGGGGGCUGCUGUGUGUGGACUGGCUGAGUCAGGACCCAGCCCUGGGCCCGGGGCCACCACGGCUCUCGCUGAUCUUGCUGACGGGGCUGAAAAUGCGUCUGCGCGGCCCUCUGCAACCUGCCAUUACUCACGGUCGGUGUUUAGCCCCAAGCCAGGGGUGACCGGCGGACCGGCAGGAGGCUCGGUGUGUGCUGAAGGAGGGACGGCCCGAGGCUGGGCUGCGAGAGGCACAGCGGGAACCGUGGGCAGCUGCUCAGAGCGCCGUGACCAUGUUUUUCUGAGCUGAAAAAUUAGGACACGGGAGGUAGCUGAGGGUUUUCUCAGAUUUGUUCAUUCAAUGCGUGGAAAAGUCUUACAGAGGUAUGAAAGUUGAAGCUUAUUUGGUUAUAUAAGUAAUGGAUUGUCUUUGUUGAAAAGAAUCUGAGUUUCCAAAAUCAGGGAGAUUCUGGGAAUCAGUCAGUCAACAUGACUCACAUUCUGGGGGCACCCGGGUCAGCCCUGUCCUUGGUCCUUGCACUGUGACAGGGAGUGUGAACCUGGCCUCACAGAGCUCUUGUGGGGAGGCUGACGUUGCUCCAAUAAUUUCACAAUUCAGUACUGUGAGCACCUGUAGGCACCGUUCGAGCAUUUAGGGCUGUGAGGGCCCAGGGCACCCAUGUGGACCGGGGCUGGGAUGUCCAGGAAGAAGCGCAUUUCAGGCAGGAGGAAGAGCAUGUGCAGAGGGCCUGUGGCAGAAAAAAGUGUUGGGUGUUUGCGGAACAGGAGGCAGCCCAGGUGACUGGAAUGUGACCAGUGAGGGAAGAGGAGGUUGGACAUGUCAGCAGGGGCCAGUCCAGACAGUGCCCACGAGCCCAUAAGAGUGUGGUAGACUUUUUCCUGCCAGCAAUGGGGAGCCAUGGACUGUUUGACACAGGCGUGACCUGGUCAUGCUUCUUGAUGUUGAUGAGAAGGAGGAGGAUGAUGAUGUUGGUGAUUAUACGCAGUGCUUCGUGAGCGCUGACCAUGCGCCAAGCACCAUUUCAGCCGUUUUACAGAUGAGAAAACGGGGGGGUUGGGAGGGGAAGUGACUUAUCUAAGGCCACACAGCUGGUGAACGGCAAAGAUGGAACUCGGACUGAGUCUGUCUGGAUCCUAAGUCCCUGCUCGCAUCCCACACACAAAGCUGCCCUUGUCCGGAAGUGGAAGGCCAGGGGGCGUGCAGAUCACCCCACUUCCUGCUGCGCUGUGGGGCCGCGUCCUCUCUGCUCGGUGUCCCAGGCCUGGGUGGGAACUGACAGUCACAGGGUCAGCUUGGGCUGGAAAGGCCCAGCUCAGUUCCUCCUCAGGCCCAGCGGGGGAAGUUGGGCUUGCAACAUCCCACGGCAGCUGAGGUUCUGGAGAAGUUGGGAUCCCAGCCUGUCCGCUGGGGCACGGGUCACACUGCAGCCCCGGGAGCACAGGCCCAGUCACCUGUUUGGGAGCCGAGGACUUUGAGCUGCGGCUACAGCAUCCCUCCCGAGUAGCACAGCACCCCGGCCCCUGCUCCCUCCCGUGGAAACAGACCUAGGUGUCUGCACCACUCUAGACUCACCGGUGGCAUUUAAAAAAUCCUGCUUCCCUUGUUGAUCAUCAGGGAAACGCAAACCAAAACCACAGUGAGACCCCACCUCGCACCUGUUAGGAUGGCUACUGUCAAAACCCAGAAAGUAACAAGUGUUGGCGAGGAUGUGGAGAAAUUGGGAGCUCGUACAGUGUUGGUGGGAAUGUCAAAUGGUGCAGCCGCUACGGAAAACAGUAUGGAGUUUCUCCAAAAAAUUAAAAAUAGAAUCACCAUAUGAUCCAGCAAUUCCACUUUUGGGUAUGUAUCCAAAAGAAUUGAAAGCUAUAUGCGCGCCCGUGUUCACUGCAGCAUCAUUCACAAUAGCCCAAAGGGGGGGAGUCACCCAACAGUCCAUCAACAGAUGAAGGGACCAACAAAACGUGGUGUAGAGUAUACAUUACAGCGGAGUACCAGUCAGCCUCAAAAAGGAAGGAAAUUCUGACACUCGCUUCAGGACGGGUGAACCUUGAGGACACGUGCUAAGUGAAAUAAGCCCGACACAAAAGGACAAAUACUGUAUGAUUCCACUUAUAUUAGGUACUCAGAAUGGGCAAACUCACAGAGAGGAGAACAAAGGAGAAGGUUGGAUGCCAAGACCUGGGCUGUGAGGGCGGGGGGGAGGGGCAGGAUGGAGAGCUUUGUUUAAUGGGUACAGAGUUUCUCAAGAUAAAAAGAGUUCUGGAAGGGCUGGCCCCACAGCGUAGUGCUUAAGUCCGUGUGCUCCGUUCUGCGGCUGGGGUUCCUGGGUUCAGAUCCCGGAUGUGGACCUGGCACCGUUCAUUAAGCCAUGCUGUGUUGGCAUCCCACAUAAAAUAGAGGAAGAUGGGCACAGAUGUUAGCUCAGCGACAAUCUUCCUCGAGCAAAAAGAGGAAGAUUGGCAACAGAAGUUAGCUCAGGGCCAGUCUUCCUCACACACACAGAAAGAGUUCUGGAGACGGAUGGUGGUGAUGGUUGCACAAGAAUGUGACUGUACGUUAUGCCACUGAACUGUACGCUUAAAAAUGGUUACGAUGGCAAAUUUAAAAAAAAUCGUAUUCUAAGUUCUCUCAAGUUGUCAACAGUGGGCUUUCUUUUAAGUUGCAUUUACAAGAAAUAAAUUAAAAUAUCAGAUGGGAGUUGUCAUUAGAGCAGUUAAGAAUCACAGAUGCCGUAUUCCCGGGCAAGUGUCCUCCCCUCCCGGAGCCUGAGUUUCCUCACGGGGUAAUGGGGAUGAUGAUGGUGCCUCCCUCUGGGGCCACUGCGAGGAUUCCAUGAUGCCUGCAAGGUGGUCCAGCGGAGGCCGGCGUCCAGGAAGCACUCAGCACCCAGCAGUCCUUAGUCCUGGCAGAUAUGCCCCAGGCGUGUGGGGUUUGGGAACAGGAGCAGCACAGGCCCUAGUCAGAGGAGAAAAGACCCCUUGCCUGACAGUACACCUGGGGAAACUGAGGCCUGGAGGAGUCAAGAGACUUGUCCAAGGUCUCUGGGCUUCCCUUGAACCAGAAUGUGGUUUUCCACGUCUGUAUCGGUGAGCAAGGCUCGGUUGUGCUGCGUAACGAGCGAGCCCCACAUCGCAGUGUCUCACACAGCACAAGUCUGUUCUGCAUCCAGCAAAGUCUGCCGUGGGUCCAGGAGCUUCUCCAGGGCAACUGCCCUCCACGCGAAGGCCCAGGGAUCCAGGCUGCCUCCCGCUGGUGGCGCCUCCAUCUCUGGGUCCCCGAGGCAGGGAAAGAGCAUCACGUCCCUGCCUCCCACACUCCACUGGCCAGCACCAGUCACAUGGCUUCACCCCACGCCUGAGACGGAGAGGAGAACCAUGGGUAAGCCCCGGAAGUUUCUUCUCACCAUGCGAGUGGGACGAAGGCCAGUGGACAGCUGUCUCCAGGACAUGCUCACAGUGAACUGAGUCAGAGAGAAAAGGGUUUGAGGCUGGAAUGACUCCCCCUCCUACCCAAGCCCCCCGCUCCUUCCCAGAGCAGCCACGGUGAGCCGCGCUAACGGCCGGUUUACAAGCAGGGGUGUUGACGUGCCUUGUGGACAUACAGUUGUUCUCGGCCACUCCUUGAAGAAGCCGGCGGGGGUCUGUCCAGCCUCUUGCUCUCCCACCUGGCGGUGCCUCCACCUGUACGUAAUCAGUGCCCCCGAUGGGUGUCCAGGCCGUUUGCAAAGUUCUGCUAUUAUAAACAGUGAUGCAAUGAAUUUCCUGCACGUUUUCCCUUGUCACCCAUGUAAGUGUUUCUGUGGUGUAAAUUCCUAAAAAUGGAAUCGCUUGGUCAGAGGGCAGGUGCAGCGAGCAGUCUGACAGCUUUCCAGCGGCAGGGGCUGCUCCAGGGUCAGAAGGAGCUUUUAAGAAGUGUUGCUAAUGGAGCCGAGUGAGUUUCGGGGACCAGGGUGAGUCCUCCGCCCCAGGGGGUUUCCAGAUGGGACACCAAAGAGGGGAAGCAGGAAGAGGGAUGCUCUCGCCAUCUCGACUCUGAUGCUAGAUCUCCUCUCCUUCUCAGGACCUGCCACUCUUGCUGUGCCCAUUUUAUAGAUAGCAAACCCCGAGUUCCAGAGAGGUUGAUUCACUUGCCUGAAGCUGCCCAGCAAGCAGCGUUUGAACCCCGGUCCCAGCCUGGGUGGAGUCCUCUUGGGUUCCAGGAUCCCAGCUCCCUGCUGGACACCUCACGGAUCCUUUCUUUACUGGUCCCUCUCAAAGGCUCUCAUGUUCCCCCCAGAGCUUUCUUUUGGCGAGUUUCUGAAACUCGUCUUCCCUUCCUCGCGUCUAGUGCUUCGGCUCCUCCAGUGGCAGAACCAUCCGCCUGUUACUUUUCUCCUUUGUUGUUUUCAUCUCUGCUCCAUCUCUUUGCAAGAGCAUCUCGGUUUUUGACCACCGUUAGUCUCAUUGAUUUUCAAAUUUUCUUUCUUUUUGGGGUAACGUCCCUUUUGUUCCUGGAAAAAGACGAUACACCUUCAUUGUAAAAUAAAUAAAUAAAUUCAAGCAACACUGGAAACCACAAGCAAGAAGAUGAAAAUCACCAACGCCCCUCACCCACAGAUGACUAUGGUUAACGUUUGGUUGCCUGUCCUUCUGCAGAUUCUAAACAUUUAAUGUUUUGAGCCAGCCCUGACAGCCUAGUGGUUAAAGUUCAGCACACUCUGCUUUGGUGGCCCCAGUUCGGUUCCCGGGUGCCAAACCACACCACUUGUCUGUCAGUAGCCAUGCUGUGGCGGUGGCUGACACUGAAGAACCAGAGAGACUUACAGCUAUCCACAACUAUGUACCGGGGCUUUGAGGGGGUGGAGAGGAAGAAAAAAGGAGGAAGAUUGGCAACAGAUGUUAGCUUAGGGCAAAUCUUCUCCUGCAGAAAAAUAAAAAAUAAAUAAGUAAUUUAGAAUUUUAUUCUAAACAUUUCUAACCACCCACUCUAAUGGUAAUGAUAAGGAAAAUCUCUACCUUUCUCCCUAAAGGUGGGGUGUAUGAAUCACCAGACAUGAGUUCCCUCCCCUCCAGUGCCAUCACUGCCCACACCUUUGCCUGGGCCUCUGCUGCUGCUUCUGCUCCCAGGUUGGAAGCUGCUGUUCCAGCUCCAGGGAGCAGACCCUGCAGGGCCGGCACCAGCUAACUGGUGAAAAUGGUUUCCCCACCUCCAAAGAGAUUCCACCCACUCGCUCACACUCAGGGAGCAGGAAUCUCACCCCUCACCUGCCGGACACCGAGAGGCUGAAACCCAGGCCGGUGUGUGUCUCCAGCUUGUGGAAAGCCUGCAGCCACUCUUCCUGCACAAGGGAUCACACGUCUGCCCACCUCUCCCAGCCGCCAGCCCCCUCCGCUCCUGCAUCUCCCGCCUGGAAUGCUGUGCCAGCCUCUUCCCGGUGCCCACCCGGCCUCCAGGAUGACCCCUGACCACCAGUGCUCCACGCAGGGCCCCGUGGGCCUGGGGAAGUGUCAGCCCGGCUCACCACGCCCCAGUAACUCCCGUCGCCCUGACCAAGUCUAUUUCUUCCCUCAGCUUUGAAGGCUCCGGGACCAGGUUCCUGCCACCCCUGCAGCCUCCUGCCUCUCCACCCCCCACCCCUGCUCUAGCCAGACUGGCUACUUUCCAGGCCUCGGUGCCCUUGCACACACUGUCCAGAGGCCUGGAAUGUUCUCUCUUAUCAUCACAUCGGCUGUUCAUUCUUUAGAACUCAGCGGAGGCUUCCCCUCCUCUAGAGAGCUGCCGCGGCCCCUGUGGCCAUGGUCUGUUUACUUGUCUGAUGCCCCCACUAGAUUGUCCCUAAUCCUCUAGCCCAAGGCCUGGCCGCCAGCUGGAGUCACCACUGCUGGUGGAAGGAUGGCUCAGUCCCACCCUCUCCCCUUCCCGCCCUGCCCCCAGCCCCGCUCCCCACUCCUUCCCUGGGGCUCAUUCUCCUUUCCCGACCUCAUUGCUCUCUGCAGUGCAGCACUGUGCUAAGAGCAGCCAUGCUGAAGUCACACACACCUGAGCCCUCACCCCAGCUGUGCCACCUCGUGGUGCUGAACCUCAGUCCUCCCGUCUGCAGAACGGGGAGAACAUAGCACGACCGGCCUAGAGCUGUCGUAAGGGUUAAAUGAAGAGCGUUUGUCACGUCCUUGGACAUCACAGGACUUCAGUAAAUGUUAACUCUUCUUGUUCUGCUGCUGUUGUGUGUUAUCCAUCUGGCCUAUUAGCAUCUCCUCCGAGCGCAUGUCUGGGUCUCCUGUCAACGCAGCUCUCUGCUCCAAGCUGCCCACAACUUGAAUCAUUUCAUCUUCACAGAGAACACUCAAUGGCUCCCCAGUGCCUCUCCUGGGACAUAGAAACUCCAGCUAAUUUUCAAAGCUUUUCUGGAUUUCCUGGUGAGACCACCCUGACUAGUGGCCAAAGACCUUCAAGGAGGAAGGGGCUUCCUCCCAGCAGGCCCCUCAACCCCUG